GGGUAAUACACAUAGUGAUUAGUAUUAAAGGUUAUCUCCAACCUGUUUUCACUGUUAAUAGAAUAAUGUCCUAUUGGCAUCAUUUAUAUAUCACCCCCUAGAAAAACAGUCAAAGAGUGUUUUAAACUAAAGUUUCACUCACCUUAAUCCAGCCCUGGACGAAGCUCCCCGAAGCUCUUCCUGCAAGAGAGAAGCAGUUAGGUCUGUUACCAGCGUGCAGUGCACACUGACCACAGACGUAAUUUAUGCACAGAAUUGACACUAGGCAACCCAGAAUGCUGUGCUGCCUAAGUCACGUGUGUUUUGAUUUACUAUUUGUGCACUAUUAAAGCAUUAUGUUAAAGGGUCACUCCACUGCCCGAAUACAAAAUACAUUUAAAAAAUGUUUAGUAGAUAAACCCCAAAUGAAAACGUGCGUGUAUUUAAUAAUGGGGUUAUAUCUGGAAAACCUGCAGAUCUCCUGUCAGCUGCCUUUGCAAGCCCGCCCCUUCGAAACCAGCCCAGACUUUCUGUGUCUGUCCAAUCACAGACAAAACCAUGAAGUAACAGGACCUGUUGUCUGUUUGACAGCCAGGUGGUUAAUUUAAAAAAAGUGAAUGUUUCUAUUAAAAUCUGAACUUUUUCCGAAAUAAUAAAAAUAGGACACACAUAAACCAUUUCAGCAAGCUAAAGUGCUCUUGGGGUCUGGUGUGUCCCUUUAAAGAUAUCAGUUAAAAGUAACAUAAUUAUUGAUGUGAAUCCAUGUUUUUUGUUGUUUUGCUAUUUUUUUAAUAAUA